rnacentral:rRNA from 1 species
UACGUAGGGCGCAAGCGUUAUCCGGAAUUAUUGGGCGUAAAGAGCUCGUAGGCGGUUUGUCGCGUCUGCCGUGAAAGUCCGGGGCUCAACUCCGGAUCUGCGGUGGGUACGGGCAGACUAGAGUGAUGUAGGGGAGACUGGAAUUCCUGGUGUAGCGGUGAAAUGCGCAGAUAUCAGGAGGAACACCAGUGGCGAAGGCGGUGCUCUGGGCCGGAACUGACGCUGAGGAGCGAAAGCAUGGGGAGCGAACAGG